GACGAACGCUGGCGGCGUGCCUAAUACAUGCAAGUCGAGCGGAAUGAAGAAGAAGCUUGCUUCUUCUGAUUUUAGCGGCGGACGGGUGAGUAACACGUGGGCAACCUACCUUGUAGAUUGGGAUAACUCCGGGAAACCGGGGCUAAUACCGAAUAAUCCAUUUUGCUUCAUGGCGAGAUGUUGAAAGACGGUUUCGGCUGUCACUACGAGAUGGGCCCGCGGCGCAUUAGCUAGUUGGUAGGGUAAUGGCCUACCAAGGCGACGAUGCGUAGCCGACCUGAGAGGGUGAUCGGCCACACUGGGACUGAGACACGGCCCAGACUCCUACGGGAGGCAGCAGUAGGGAAUCUUCCACAAUGGACGAAAGUCUGAUGGAGCAACGCCGCGUGAGUGAAGAAGGUUUUCGGAUCGUAAAACUCUGUUGUAAGGGAAGAACACGUACGAGAGUAACUGCUCGUACCUUGACGGUACCUUAUUAGAAAGCCACGGCUAACUACGUG
rnacentral:rRNA from 1 species